UACGAAGGGUGCAAGCGUUAAUCGGAAUUACUGGGCGUAAAGCGCACGUAGGCGGCUUGGUAUGUCGGGUGUGAAAUCCCCGGGCUCAACCUGGGAACUGCAUCCGAAACUGCCUUGCUCGAGUAUGGGAGAGGGAAGUGGAAUUUCCGGUGUAGCGGUGAAAUGCGUAGAUAUCGGAAGGAACAUCAGUGGCGAAGGCGACUUCCUGGACCAAUACUGACGCUGAGGAGCGAAAGCGUGGGUAGCAAACAGG
rnacentral:rRNA from 1 species